rnacentral:rRNA from 1 species
GCCUACGGGGGGCAGCAGUGGGGAAUCUUGCACAAUGGGCGAAAGCCUGAUGCAGCAACGCCGCGUGAGCGAAGAAGGCCUUUGGGUCGUAAAGCUCUGUCCUAAGGGAAGAAGGAAGUGACGGUACCUUAGGAGGAAGCCCCGGCUAACUACGUGCCAGCAGCCGCGGUAAUACGUAGGGGGCAAGCGUUAUCCGGAAUUAUUGGGCGUAAAGAGUACGUAGGCGGUUCUUUAAGCGUAGGGUCUAAGGCGAUGGCUUAACCAUCGUUCGCCCUGUGAACUGGAGGACUUGAGUAUCGGAGAGG